rnacentral:lncRNA from 1 species
UGUGGGGGACUUUUGGAAUAGCAUUGGCAAUGUAAUUGAGGAAAAUACGUAAUAAAUAAAUAAAUAAAAAGAAAAAGAAACCAAAAGCAGCAUUUAAUCUCAUCCUUAUAGGCUCACAAUUUGUAUUCAUAAUCUUUAAUAAACACUAUGUAAGUAUGACCAAUAUGCUUAAUAUAAGGUUCAGCAUUAAUAGGUCUAACUAAGAUUUUAAGAUUUAAAAAAAGUAUGCUGAUGAAAAUCUAGAUCUCUAAAUAAUCUUUGCCCUUUACCUCUAUAUCCAACCCCCCUUCUUUUUUUUUUUUUUUUUUUGAGACAGUGUCUCACUAUGUAGUCUUUGUUGCCCAAGAACUUGCUAUGUAGAGCAGGCUGGCCUUAAACUCAGAGAUCUGACUGCCUCGGCCUCUCCAGAGCUGGGAUUAAAGGGGUGAGCCACAAUAUCAAGCUAUUUUCACCUCUUGAUUCAUUAGAAUUCUAUAAAAUUAUUUGGUUUUCUUUCUCCUCUUGAUGUCACUUUGUCACUUGGCAUGAUCUAGUGGGGCCAUCUAUCCCCUUCCUUUUUCCCCUUCUGUUAGAGCCUUUAUUCAUCUUCACGUGCAGCUCACAUGCUCUGGGUUCAGAAGUAGCACAAAGGUGGGGGUGGGUGCAUGAUCAUUUGUUAAUGAAGCAUUUUGACUGGAAAUUUGCCCUCAGGAAAACAGCACAGUGAUUGGAAAUGUGCUCUUGAUAGAAACCUUUUGUUGAGUGAAUCUAAUUUCUCUGUAAUGAUCCUUUCCAUGUACAGUGUAGUUCUUCAGGAAACUGCAUUGCUUUGCUUUCCUGUUUUGUAUAGAGUACUACUUGGAACAUAAUAUAUAUUCAAUUUUUUUGUCACAUAUUAUUUUAUAAGGUUCAUACAGUUCUCAAGAAAACUCCGAUUGAAAGAGUCUUCCAGGAUCAUCUUGUCUGUGCCACAUUCCAUUU